UCAGAUUUAACUUCAUUAUUUGAAUAAGGUCUACAAAAAGGUAUUCUAUUUAACUUUUUUUACCAGAAAACAGAAUGUCCGCCCCCAAGUUUUUUCAAACACAUUAAUUUUAUUCUUCAAAAUAAACGUCACAUUAAAAUGACCACCAAAUUACUAUAACUUAAUCAAGUUCCAUAUGUAAACUUGAACGUCCAGAAAUUGGGCAAAUAAAUUACCCAAUGCACACUCCAAACCACAGUGCUAUUUACUACCUAAUGCAGGAUAAUUUUUUACCUAACUUUAUCCUGCUCAUAUCAGGCAACUGAAAUGUCCUCUGUGAAUGGGUGGGGGGGGGGGGGGGGGGGCAGUACACAAGGAGAAAAAAGGGGAAUCAUAUAACUAUUGGAGACCUAAAUUUCUAUUUUUGGGAAUCAUAAACCUUAAGCUUGGAGUCCUCUCUUCUUUUCAUCGUAUGGUAAGUCAACAGUAUAACCACUUCUUUUAGAUGGGAUAUCCUCAACAUACUCUGUUGCCAACAGUUUGGUAGAGAGACCUUAGUUGUGUGUUCCAUUUAUCUAUGGCAGUAUACUUCUUCAUCCCUUUUGAUCUGCGUGCACGAAUACAUCGUGUAAAACACGUUAGAAGUGAACUUAGGUCGCAAUAAGUAAAUUAAUAAUGGCACAUCAAGGUUAUUAAUUGACCUGUCGCCACGCUCUAGCAGCCGGUUCACUUGAUCAAUGUGGCCAUCAAUCCGGUUAUCCAAGAUUAGGGAGACCAACAAGUCCUCAACGUCUUUUUCUGGCACAUUCAGCUCCUGCAGGUCAAUUAAUAUGAGAAAACCAACUAGGAAGUGCAGUGCAUCGAAUGGAUUAGUAACUGAAUAAUGCGAUAAACUACGAGAGUAGCUCAGUUCACUGUAGGGAGUAUGCAUGUAUCUUCCAAAUAUGAACAUGUAAUUAGUAGUGUUUUAUGCCAUCACUAACACAGAUAGCUGAUAAAACUUAAUCCCUCAUGCUCUGCCUCCUCGCAUGAGGCAAUGAAUAAGACAGAAUACGAUAGAUAAGAGGUUCACUAUGGAAAAGCUGAGAAAGGGAAAAAGGAAGAAUGCCCUAGCAAGAAAGAAGACUGUGAUAACUUAUCACCUUGGAUAUGAAGGGAAUCCGGAUUCUUGUGUAAGGCUUGAUGAGCUUCAGUAAAACCUGGGUUCUGACAUUCCUCAAAAGAUCUUCAAUGUAAUUCCGAAUGAAUGGGUCAUCCAUUAUUGUCCGUCUGUUACUCUGUUAAAAUGUCGAGAAAAGCACAUUCAAAAUGAUAACAAGAAACCAACUACAGACUGUUGGGCCAACAGGCAAUUUUGAAAUUUACAGGAAGGUACCUUAAGAAUUUUCUCGAACUCCAAGAUCUCAUUUCGUUGAUAUGCUGCGAUAAGGUUUGUCAUUGCCAAUAUCUCAGGGUCAUUUUUGUAACUGAAAAAUAUAAACACAAUCAUGUACUGACACAAUGCAGCCAUAGUCCAGUCACAAGAAUGACAAAAUACUGAUGUUGAAUCUCGCAAACAAAAACUUAUCUCAGCAUACUCACGGUUUAGCUUCUUGACCAUCAAAAGGGUUAACUUCAGACUCCAUCAGCAUAUUUGCCAGAACCAAGUACCUAAGUGAAAGGAACCAAACAUAGUGUGACAUUAGGCAAAGCAGAGGUUUGCAAUGGUUAAGACAGAAAUGGAAUCCGCAUACUGUAAUCUUCUGAUGGAAGGUGAAUGUUCAAAACAAUCACCUAGCACCGCAUUACAGCAAUUGACAUGGAACAACUUUAACCCAUAUUUAUAUGCAAUUAACAAAACUCUAAAUUUCUAAAACAUGCAAAAGCAUCCAUUCAGCGAAAACAUAGAGAGAACCACAUCUGAGGCUAUAUCAAGAAAUGGAUUCAGAGUGAAGAGUUAGAAACAUCAGAGACAGUCUUAACCUUAUCAAUUUUUCUUUAUAUAUAUAUAUAUAUAUAUAUAUAUAUAUAUAUNNNNNNNNNNNNNNNNNNNNNNNNNNNNNNNNNNNNNNNNNNNNNNNNNNNNNNNNNNNNNNNNNNNNNNNNNNNNNNNNNNNNNNNNNNNNNNNNNNNNNNNNNNNNNNNNNNNNNNNNNNNNNNNNNNNNNNNNNNNNNNNNNNNNNNNNNNNNNNNNNNNNNNNNNNNNNNNNNNNNNNNNNNNNNNNNNNNNNNNNNNNNNNNNNNNNNNNNNNNNNNNNNNNNNNNNNNNNNNNNNNNNNNNNNNNNNNNNNNNNNNNNNNNNNNNNNNNNNNNNNNNNNNNNNNNNNNNNNNNNNNNNNNNNNNNNNNNNNNNNNNNNNNNNNNNNNNNNNNNNNNNNNNNNNNNNNNNNNNNNNNNNNNNNNNNNNNNNNNNNNNNNNNNNNNNNNNNNNNNNNNNNNNNNNNNNNNNNNNNNNNNNNNNNNNNNNNNNNNNNNNNNNNNNNNNNNNNNNNNNNNNNNNNNNNNNNNNNNNNNNNNNNNNNNNNNNNNNNNNNNNNNNNNNNNNNNNNNNNNNNNNNNNNNNNNNNNNNNNNNNNNNNNNNNNNNNNNNNNNNNNNNNNNNNNNNNNNNNNNNNNNNNNNNNNNNNNNNNNNNNNNNNNNNNNNNNNNNNNNNNNNNNNNNNNNNNNNNNNNNNNNNNNNNNNNNNNNNNNNNNNNNNNNNNNNNNNNNNNNNNNNNNNNNNNNNNNNNNNNNNNNNNNNNNNNNNNNNNNNNNNNNNNNNNNNNNNNNNNNNNNNNNNNNNNNNNNNNNNNNNNNNNNNNNNNNNNNNNNNNNNNNNNNNNNNNNNNNNNNNNNNNNNNNNNNNNNNNNNNNNNNNNNNNNNNNNNNNNNNNNNNNNNNNNNNNNNNNNNNNNNNNNNNNNNNNNNNNNNNNNNNNNNNNNNACUUUAUUAUAUAUAUAUAUAUAUAUAUAUAUAUAUAUAUGUGUGUGAUGGUAGAUAGAGUCUAAUCUAACCACCAAAACAAGUGCAGAAAUCUGCUAUUAGUUACAAAAAGCACGUCGUCACAUUGAUUAUUUCACAUACCAAGCAACAAGUGCGAGAAUACUGGGACUGAACACGGAAACGGGAACUCUUGAGGAAGGGCCGGACCACAAAGGGUCUAUUGUACGCAGCCUUACCCUGCAUUUCUACAAGAGGCUGUUUCCACGGCUUGAACCCGUGACUUCCAGGUCACAUGGCAGCAACUUUACCAGCUACGCCAAGGCUCCCCUUCAAGAACCUUUUAUAAAAUGUAAUUGAGAAAACAACUUAUUUCUGUUUCCCUCCAGAUUAAACAGCACCUCCUCUCCACAUAAACAACUUAGCAGUAAACUGUUUGGCAACUUCAACACUUGGAAUGUCCUACAUGAAAAGGCAUAACCUGGAACCUUAAUCUUAAUCACCUCCAAUUUAUGAAGCCAAUAAUGCAUCCCAUACCAAGAGAAGCAAAAGAUUCGUUUACGUCCAAUCACCUAUGCCAGUGGCCACCAAUGUCUAAUGAUUAUCAAUACAAUCCUCCCUCCACAACAGACACAUCUCGAAUCUUCAUCAUAGCCUUAGUGAGUAUUUAAUCAACCAUGAAAGGUGCAGGAGAUAAAUAACAGAAAAUUGGUACCUCAGAGAACAUUAGCAAAUUUUCUCCAAGUAGUAGACAGAUGCAUCCUGUCAUAAUUUAAGUGUUGUGUGCGUUUGCAAGUUUGCAUUGAACUCUUUAACGAACUUCCUUCAAUUCUAGUUCUAAAGUACUACCUAAUGUCUUUAUGUCUUUAAAUCUAGCAUUUUGAGAAUGAUUUGAGGCAUCAUUAAAUAGGUAAGAUCCUCAAUUUGACGUCCUGAUUAAGGCCUAGGAUACAGCACAAUUACAUAUGCAAAGCAGUUGCAACAGUUUAAUUUGGUACAGAAAUGUCCGUUUUCCCAUAUAUACUGCAGGUAUACAACACCCUGUUUCAGUCACAUGCAUAUCAUCUGAGCACACUUCAAUAUAUUUCAUCCAACCAACUGCAUCACGAGGUACAUGAGGUACACUGCCUCUCUUUCAGGAUAAGAAGCUACAAGCUUGAGGAGCAAAAAUAUGGAAACAUUUGACACUAUUUUGAGUGGCUUGACGAUAAGAGUGGUAGGGACAAAAGUAAAAGACGAGUACUGAAAACUAUUCCCUUCACUUGGUUAGGAAAUAAAAGGAAGAAAAAGCCGAGAUGCAACCCUCCCAAAUUUGAAGGGGGGAAGGAAGCAAAUUUUCCUCGUCGCGGAAAGUAGAAAACAAUAGAAGAGAACAGAUCCGUAUAGGUGAUAGCACUAGUUGAGAUUAACCCUUAGUCUUGUUGACACACCUACAUUAGUCCAACAUUUGCUAGGAGUCUAUAAAAUCUUGUUGGAAAAUUUGUAUGUCAGUAGAAAACGUAGAGAACUUCUAAGGUUAGAGAACCAAAUUCAUUAAAUGCUCAAAGGAGACGGGUCUACUCGAAGCAAAAUGGAUAGUGAGGAUUCAUAUGCCAACCCCAACUAGCUUAGAUUGAGGCUUUAUAGUUGUUUGUUGUGUCAUGUUAAGCCAAACCACCAGAGGUCGAUGUUAAAACAUCACAGAGAGAAGUAAGAUCAGUGACUUCACUCUAUUGCACCAAACAUAGCGGCAAGAAAUGCGAGCAAUGGUUCGACUACAUGAUUUAAGUUUAUCAAAUAUAGGGUAAAACAUUCAGUUUAAAAGGCCAUUAAUUCCAUGUCAAGCACAUUACAAAAGUAAUGGUUAGUGAUUAAGUAACAAUCCAAAAGCUUGAACACAUAGUUAAUGGUUAGUGAAAAACUUCUUUUUGUUAUUUGACAAGUACUUGUGGAAAAACUUUCUACUAUUGCUUCAAUAGGAGUACAAUUAAUUUUGUUAGAUAAUGAUUAUUCCAAGACAAACUGCUUUGAUCAUGCUUUUUCAACACAUGAUCUCCUAUGUUCUUUAAUGCAGCAACCACGAGCUACAGCUUGUAGCAAUCAGUAAUACAGACGUCCAGGAACUAGCAGCCAAAGACUACAUUAAUAAUUUCAAUUUCGUUGUAGUUUUAUUUUUCUCUUGUGUCCUUAGCAAGACGAAAGUGGAAAUGCCAAAGGAAGCAAAUAAAUGCACACACAACCUACGCAUAUGAAGCACAAACAGGAAGUACAGCACACAUACUUUAGGCACUGGAUACGCCUAUGAUUCCCAGCUUCAUCAUAGUUCUUGAAAGCUUCAAAGAAGUCUGUAGCUGCCUCUGCCCACUUUCUCUCCGCCAUAUGCAUUUUACCUCCACAUUCGCGAAUGAUUCCCAUUAUUCUUGGAUGAGGGAUUGCUGACUUGACUGAAAGUGCUUUGUUGUACAGUUCCUGGGAUUAUACUCAUAUUAUGCAUGAAUUAGGGAUUGAAAACGGCAGCUUAUCAGUUCAAGCUAUGUUGCUAGGAUCCUCCAAAAAGACGACAGAUGCGCUCGGGUCCUCCAAAAGAAAGUUAUGCAUUUUUAGAGGAUCCGACAUGGGUGCGUUGGCAUUUUGGAAGCUCCGAGCAACAUAGACCUCAAAAAGAUAUAAAUUAAGGAAAAUGAAAUGUCAAGCAAGUUUUAAAGCAAGCAUGCAUCCUCUGUAAUGUAAUAGUUAAUACGACUGGAUAGAUGUUUUCAAGAUAUUAAUGCCAGAAUAAAUACCAGAAGGUUAAGAAAUUAUGGUCAUAAUACAGAUAUAUACUCCGCAUGGAUAUAAAGUUAUAAACACAUCAGGGUCUUCUGUGGCCCCACUUAAAAUAUCAGAAAUUUAAAAUAUGAAUGAUUUCCCGUAGAGGGGUCAUUUUUUGGCCCCAUUCCAAUAAAUAGUGCGAUCAAAAAGUUAUGGCUUUUUUACUAUUUGUCUACAACUUUUUGACCGUCUCAUUUAUUGGAAUGAGGCCAAAGAAGACCCUUAUACAGGAAGCAUUCUUAAAAUAUUAUGGCUCAUUAUUUUCAACGUGAAAAUAUUACCUCACUCAUAUUUGAUCACAUCUGAGUAGUAGAUAACGCCUAAAUAGUGAGAUUUCGGGUAGAAAUAGAUUUGAUCAAAUCCUAUUUUAGCAACUUUGACCGGACAUUCCCUACCGAAAGAGCAGAAGUAAUUUACGACUACUACAAUUAUAAGGUCUCUUUGAUACCAUGUUAUAAAUCUUUUCGGGAAGAGAUGAAGAGAAGUUGUCUUCUCUCUAACUUAAUACUUCCUCCGGUCCUUUUUAUUGAUCUUUUAGCAUUUUUUAUUUGGUCCAAAAUAUUGAUUUUUUUAUUGAGACAUUGUACUUGUUGCACUGAUGGACUAUAUUAAAUACGAUAGUAAAGCAUUUGUUGCACUACUUGAUUAUAUUUAUUAUUAUGACCGACCUUGAUUUAAUGUUGAAAAUAUACUCCCUCCUGUCCUUUUUAUUUGAUUGUUUAGCCUUUUGCACACCUAUUAAGAAAUCUACUUUGGAACAUUAAUUAAGAAUGCUAUUGACUAAAUUAACCUUUAUCUCUUCUCAAAUUUACUCAUAGGAAAUUGUAAGGACUUUUUAGAAAAUGGUUUAGAUCAUUUAUUAGCAAGGUAACUUAGAAAAAAUAAUACUUUCUUGAUUUUUGGACCAAAUAAAAAGGACCGAAGGGAGUAAGAUAAUAUAGUUCAAUGGUGCAAUUAAUGCAUUACCGGAAAAUCAAGGUUGUCGUAAUAAAUGCAGUUUAAUUGUGCAAGAAUGCCCAACUAUCAUAAUUAAUAUACUAAAACAGCGUAACAAAUGAAUCAUGCUCAAUCUUUUAUUGUCUUGACACAAUCUCUGUAAUUUUAUGAUAUUUUCAUAAAUAAUACCUGUAUAUAGGUGUUUCUUGUAGCUCAUUCAUAUCAAGUUAGAAUAAAAUAAGUUAAUUUCGCCUCUUUCUCGACUGCUCCAGUGACUGUUCUAACCUUUUCAAGUCAUUAUUCUAGUCGUUUUUAAAGGGACAUGUGCCACUAUUCGUGUCAAUAUUCAGUGCUAACAUGUCAAUGUCGUCGUGUAGAGACAUCUUUCUAAUCAAUGAGUAGCUAACACCAGGUCUCCAUUAAGUGACAUGCCACUAUGCACUUAUCCAGUCAUCAAGGCCACAUUACUAAGCAUUAAUUUUUUCAACAUAUCAAACUUGAUUUUACAGCUUUUUAUUUGCAAACAUAAGUUGUUUCACCACAUUGAGUUUAAAGAUUGUAUCUGAAUACAAGAUAAUGUAACAGUGCAUUUAUCAUCGCUACCAGUCAACGUUUAAUUACCGCCAAGUAUGGCAUAAAACUGUUCGGCCAUUGCCACGUUACUAAAGAGUAAUCUUUUCAGCACACUCAACUUGAUUCUCCAAUUGAUUUGAAAACCAAAGUUGUUUCACCAUCCUAAGUUUGAGGAAACGUGUUGAGAAGAAAGCAACUAAUUCAGCUAGGAGGUGCAAUAAACUCACCAUUGUCAAAGUCAAGUUUGGCUCCGCAAUAACAAAUAUAGUAAAACUUUGUAAUAAAUUCAUUGCUAUCAUAAAUGUAAUCAAGCGGUUCAACAAAUAACUCACACUCAAUCCUUCAGUAAAUAAUGCAUAUAAUCUUAAUUUUCUACCCUACAUUCACAUCUAUAAAUAGAUAACUCUUGUAACCCAAAUGCGUAAAGUAAAUUGCCAAUCAAGUUAGCACCAAGUUAGAGAAAAGACAACAAUGACUCUCUUUCUUCCCCUCAAGAUUUCUCACACUUAUCAAAAGAAUCCUUCUAAACCUACACUAGCCUAGAAAUGGAUAGAAAAGCUUCAAUAAACGUAAAUGUAAAUAUCAUGAUUUAUGAACGAUUGACAACUUCUGCGUUCAAGUUAAGGAUCUCAUCUAAAUAGACUGCUCUACCAAAACCAUUGUUAGAAGCAAAGUAAACAUCUCUGAAUGACAAGAAGAAUAAGCUGCCUAAUCCCCUGAUACCUCACUGCCAUUCUGCCUGUGUAGGUAUAUGAUUGAUUACAGCUGUUUAACCCUUUUCCUAUGAGCGGUUCCUGGCUAUUCUACAAUCAGCAUCCUACCGGUUCCGCUAUAACUCCAUUUAUCACCAGGGCACAUGCGCCUUAUCAACAAACCGGCAAAGGAUCGAGGAAAUACAGAGAGAAACCAGAGAGCAGAUUUUAACAGAAUGAAGUUCAAUAAUUUGCCCUGGUGAUGGACGCAUUAACACACCAUAUUCAUGGGGAGGUGCCAUGGUGUAUGCUAUUCGUUGAUGACAUAGUUUUGAUUGAUGAGUCGCGAGCCGGUGUUAACGAAAGUCUGGAGGUUUGGAGACAGGCUCUAAGGGUGUCAAGUUGAGCAGGACGAAGACGGAAUACAUGGAGUGUAAGUUCAGCGUUGAGCCGAGGGAAGUGGGCGCGGAUGUGAGAAACACAGGUCAUCCCAAUUAGAGGCAGUUUCAAGCUAUGUUGCGCGGACUCUGCAAAAAUGGUGUCGGGUGCGCGUCGGAUCCUCCAAAAGUAGUGCAUUUUUGGAGGAUCCGACACGGGUGUGGCAACAUUUUUAGAGAGUCCGCGCAACAUAGGUUUCAGUACCUUGGGUCGAUUAUCCGGGUGGGGUGGAUGAAGUGGAUGUUAGCAUCUGGAGUCCUAUGUGACAAGAAUGNNNNNNNNNNNNNNNNNNNNNNNNNNNNNNNNNNNNNNNNNNNNNAGGAUGGAUAAGAUUAGGAAUGAUGAUAUUCGGGAGAAGGUGGGUGUGGCUCCUAUUGAUGAAAAAAUGCGGAAAGCGAGGCUCAGAUGGUUCGGGCACGUACAGAGGAGAAGCCCAGAUGCUCUGGUAAGGAGAUGUGAGCAGCUAACUUUGGAGGGCACGAAAAGAGGUAGAGGGCGGCCUAAGAAGUAUUGGGGAGAGGUGAUCAGGCAAGACAUGGCGAGGCUUCAGAUUCCCGAGGACAUGGCCCUUGAUAGGAAGCUGUGGAGGUCAAGUAUUAGGGUUGUAGGUUAGGAGGUAGUUGAAUCUUUCCUUACUUCGUACCUUUGUGAGGCUAGUCUGGUAGGGUUUGUGUCUGAGACAGCUAGUGGCAAUGUUGUGUCUUGCUACUCUUUCGUUUCUCAUAGUGUCGGGUCUAUUUAUUGGCUAUCGCUUUUGCUUUGCACCUAUCUUCUUGUUUUCAUGAUAUUGUUAUUUUUCCUAUGAUUUCUGUUGGUGGUACUGAUAUUGUCUCUUUUCGUCUUCUUGAGCCGAGGGGCUUUCGGAAAUAGCGUCUCUACUCCCUCGGGGUAGAGGUAAGAUCUGCGUACACACUACCCUCCCCAGACCCCACUAGUGGGAUUUUACUGGGUCGUCGUUGUUGUUGUUGUUGUUGUUGAAGUUCAACUAGGAAGGUGAAGAAUUCCAUACUGCUAGAUACUUCAAACAAUGACAGAAACAUCUAUAAUUCAUUUCCUAAUAUUUCUUGGAGGAAUUUAAUAGAUUUUUACUAAUCCGGGAAAAGAAAAGAAACACUAAAGCAAAUUAUGUGUGUUUUACAAAGACUAGCAUUCUUUCAAAGAGUCUCAAUCACUACCUUCAGAAUGUACUGGUUAUCUUUUCUGGGGUACUUUUGUAUACAAAAGAGUGAGCUUCUAGAAGUAACAUUCUUUCAAAAUAAAAGAGACCACAAAAACCAAGAAAACUUAAACAUACAGAAGUAUCUGAAAUUGGCAUUUGAAUUGAAAGAAACUGACUGUAAAAAGUUUGGCCAAAAAUGAAGGAAAUGACGCCUGAUUCUGCUCAAAAGCAAGUAUAUUAUUCAAUAAAUGGGAAGAAAAAGGUAUUAAAAUACCUUCAGUUUUUUGUUAUUUUUUGUCUCUGUGUACAUUUGAAUCUCAAUUGCAUAUACCUCCAACAAUUGUGUCCCUUUCUUCUGAUCAUCAGUGCCAUCUUCUUUCUUACAAGAUUUGUGGAGCUCUUUCAGAAUCUAACAAAGUUGUCAAGUUAUGUUCAUGAAAACCAUAGCAAAAUAAAAGCUACAGAUACUAAUCUGAGCAAGCAAGAUACCUUGCUCAUUCGUCCAUAUUCCCCCAUGUCAAACCAAAUCUGGCAAAGCUUUAGAUUCGUCUUGAACCAUAACCUCUGUGAAAGAAAGAGUGGGUCGUGAGACCUUAACGAAAGACACAAGAACUUCGAGAGAAACCUGCGAGCUGACUCCUAUAUGCCAAAAGAGGAAUACACUCUGACCUCAUUCUUAGCCUCUUCAAGGGCUUUCAGUGUUGUCUGGUAGAACUCCUGCAGAAGGCUGAAGUUCUGACUAGCUGAUCCAGAAACAAAAUCCAUAAUACUGUUUAUACACUUCUCACUAUAGUUCCGUGUCACAGCCGAUUUUAUGUAGGUCAGCAUUUCUCGAUAAGCAUCCAUCAUUUCCUUGUACUUCCCUAGCUUAUAGUAAAGCUUAACAGUUUGCUUUAAAGCUUUAAAUCCCCUGGAAAUGAUGAUAGUUGGUAACAAUACAAAAGCAAGUUGUAGCUCUAAAAUUCUUAAAAGCUUUAGGAAACCCAUUAGUUAAAAGCAUAAGGCAUGAGACCUGGAUAAGAGUCUUACACGAGUUGGAUGGGUAAACAAUAACCAGCCUUGUAGCAUUACAAACAUGAGCUAUAAGUCUAUAACUAGAAAUUUUGGAUAAGGGAUAUUAAGCAAAUUUGCAAUUCCAAUUCAGAGAAGAGAACAUAAAAAAGACUGCAGUUCAAAAAUAAACUAAAGAGACUCCAUCUUCAUUAGUGAUUUAAAAUUUGGUGUGUCAUAUACACACAGAAAUGAGAAAAAGAGUGGAUAGAAGAAAGACAGGCUUGUGUGAUAGGCACAUGGCACGAGUUCGAAUACUAGUUGGUGAACCAAGCUUGGCAUUUAAGUGAAGAAAGGUAGAGGGCAAACCCAUUAUCGUACGAGCUUCAAACCUAAAAUAGUGCAUUUCUCGGUCAGUAAAAAAAAUAAGAAGAAGAAAUAGAGGCCUGCUAUUUGAAUCUGACCUCUUUUUUUAAAACUGAGGUAAGUGAUUUUGACUUUCAGGUCAUAUUAAUAGUUGCAUGCUGCAUAAUCAAUGAGUUUUUAUCAAUGCAGCGUUAGAUACUUGGGAAAAACUAACUCAGAUUUCAGCAUCUCCAUAAUGCACAUACUAAUGAUUGGCCGGGUUUCCCUCCACUUUACUUCACCAGUUUGCAGGUUAAUAAUAGAAAAGCAACUUUUAUUAGAAUGCACGUUCCUGAUGCCAUUUCCUAUAUAUGUAAUGGCACAUAGGCAUCAUCACACACCAUAAUAUAACUGAUCUCACAAAUAUAUGGUACGCUUGUUAAUAAUUUUAUCUAGCCACCACCCAAGACAGCACGCUGAAAAGGUUACCAGCAAUAACUGCAAAAUUUAGACAUUCAACUCCUUACCACUCUGCCUUCUCAGGUUCCAUACGUACUACUUCAGCAAAACCCUCAAGUGCUCCUUCGGGAUCAGUUUCGACCAAACCUAUGCAUGACAUCAUUGCAAAAUAUUACUUCAGUGCAGUGUUUAGUAUAGUGAAACAGAAGUGGAUCAAUACAAACAGAAAGUAUAUCUCUAGGCAGCACUACCAAAAAUUACAAGAGGAUGCAUAACAAUACAAUACAAAGGCAACACUGUUACCUGGUAGUUAGCAUCACAAAAGGUACCUUACAACUGAAUAAAACUAAAAGGCAGCAUUUAUCAAAUUACCAUUACAUAAAGUUUGGUUUUGCAGUUACUCAAUCUUUAUAUUGGCUGACUUAUCCAAAUAAGCAGUGUGAUUGUUAGCCAAUAGUUAAGAAGCAAAUGAUACAUGCACGCCUUUCACACUAGCAACCAUAGCAAGGGCCUAACCACUACAAACAUAGUUCAACAGGAAAAAUGGAAAUCUCAUAUUCUGGCCCAGGAGAUUGAGCUCUUUUAAAAGUUUUUGAUGCGCUCUCCAGCUAUUCCAGAACAUAUGUUCUAUGACCAACAGAAACACGCUAUCUUCCAAUACAGUAUUGUAAGUAAUGGUUUAAUCAAAGUAAUAUGUAUUAUAGUCAAGAUAUUUGUAAAACAAAAACAUUCUCCUUAGAUAGAACAUUUUCCAAUAUAAGGUAACCAAAUAAUGAAAAAUUUCAUGGAGGAAAAUAUUUUCCUAACAUUUUUACUUUUGUUUUUCUAAAAAUGGUAAUAAGUCUAACACAUUUACGUUAGGUCUUAUACUCUCUAGGAGCGGUUUAACCUUUCAAAGAUUUAUACGAUUAGAAAAUAUUCAAAACUUCGAAUACUUGCUUUUUAUUUGUAUUUGCAUAUUGGCAUGAGAUAGAGUUUAAAUGGCGUAAACUGGGACAAUGAGGAUUCAUAUAGCCGAACCCAACUUGUUUGAAACUGAGGCGUAGUUGUUGUAAAGACAACCCCGAGCAUAACCCAGAACGCAGAAUAAUACAGCGAAAAUCACGAGAAUAAUCAAAUUUAUCAUCGUACUUACAGCAUUGAACACUCAAAUAAAAUCUGCAGAAAAAUUCUCAAUUUUGUUUGGUUAUUAACUACAUUUAUUACCAGGGAAAAAGAAUAUGUACUGUACAAUACAAAGAAUCCCUAAAGCUUUAAACUGGACAAAAAAUUCUCAAAAUUAAAGUUGAAAACCUUUGGAAUUGUAGCAUUGAUUCUCGAUAUCAACAUCUUGCUCUUCCUGCUCCUCGUCCGAGUACUCGAAUCCGUAAUCCUCCAUAUCCGCAUCUGCGACAUACAUAUAUAUUCACAAAUAUCGGAUCAAAUUUAUAUAUGAUACAGAAAAUUAACGGGAAAAUUAUUGAAUUUGAUGUGAUUUUGAGUAUUACCAGAACCCAUGGCUGAUUUCAGCUGACAGAAGACAAUUGAAACAAAGGAAAAUUGAGAGUUUGAACUGUGAAGUAAGCGAAUUGUGCGUCCGUGUUUUUGAGUUCCGAAAGUCAGUACUGGAAAAUAAAAAAUAAAGUUCCGUACUGAAGGGUUUGUUCGAUUCGGGCCCGAGUUCUAACUUCUAAGAGAAUCCCAUUACAUCAAAUUCAAAUAUGUGACUUGCAUAUGUUUAUAUUUAUUAAUUGAUCAAUAGUUUAACGAUAUGUAUUCUCACUUAACUUUUAUCUAUUAGGCGCCCGGACAUAAAAAUUAUAAUUUUUUAAAUAAAAUAAUAUUUAGAGUUAAUUUGAAAAAUAGUAUUUGAAAUUUAAAAUAAUAUUUAGACAUAUAUUUCACUUGAAAAAAUAUUACAAUUUAGUGAGUGAGGGAAUUUUUUUUUGAAAAAGUGGUCAAAAUCACUUUUUGGUUUUUGAAAAACUCAUUUUCAAAAAAUUUCCAAUAACUUGCACAAUAUUACGGAUAAAUACAUUUUUGAAAAAAGGAAACUUUUUUAUGGACAAUAUAAAGUAUUUACCUUGACAAGGUGGGUUACUGUGAUGGUAAGCACACUCCACUUCCAACCAAGAGGUUGUGAGUUCGAGUCAUCCCAAGAGCAAGGUGUGUAGUUCUUGGAGGGAAGGAUGCCGAGGGUCUAUUGGAAACAGCCUCUCUACCUCAGAGUAAGGGUAAGGUCUGCGUACACACUACCCUCCCCACACCCCACUAGUAGGAUUAUACUGGGUUGUUGUUGUUGUUGUUGUUGUUGUACCUUAGCACUGCGUGGGACAAAAGAAUGAAUUGAUAAAAGAAGUUUCAAAUGAGGAAAAUUUGAAUGCUAUUAAGGAUAUGCCCCAUGAUAAGGCUCCAGGGGUGGACGGAUUUCCCAAUGAAUUUUUUACUAAGCACUGGGAGGUUGGCAAUGAUAUUUGUGAUGCCACUAGACAAUUCUUCACAACUGGAGAAAUGCACAGAGGAAUCAAUGGUACUGCUGUGACUUUAAUUCCUAAAGUGCAAAACCCAAGCCAUGUCAAAGAUUAUAGGCCCAUUGCAUGUUGCACAACUUUGUAUAAGAUAAUCACCAACGUUCUUACUGCUAGAACUAAAAAGGUCAUUGGUGGACUCAUUGGUGAAUCACAAUCUGCAUUCAUUGAAGGUAGAAGCAUCACUCACAACAUCCUAUUCACACAUAGAACUGUUCAAAGGCUAUAACAGGAAAGGAAUUUCCCCAAGAUGUGUACUGAAGGUGGAUCUGAGGAAAGCAUAUGAUACUCUGGAUUGGUUUUUUUUGGAGAGAAUGCUGAUAGAGCUUGGUUUUCCUCAUAAAUUUAUCAGUUGGAUAAUGGAAUGCAUUACAACACCGGCUUACUCUCUUACCAUGAAUGGUGGAUUGACAACACCUUUCAAAGGAAGGAGGGGAAUCAGGCAAGGAGACCCUAUGUCUCUCUAUCUAUUUGUCCUGGCAAUGGAGUAUCUAUAGAGGGAGUUUGCACAGUUUGCAAAGAACAAAGACCUUAAAUUUCAUCCUAGAGCAAAAAGCUAGGAGUGGUACAUAUUUGAUUUGCAUAUGACCUUCUUAUGUUUUGUAAGGCUGAAAUAAGCUCUAUUAGAUUAUUGCAGCAUACCUUUCUAAAGUUCUCUAAUGCCUCUGGCCUUCAAGAAAAUGCAGACAAGAGCUCUAUUUACUUGGCUAUUAUUUCAAACAAUCUGAAACAGGAUAUCCUACAAGAACUGGGCUACUCUGAAGGCACUCUACCCUUCAGAUAUUUUGGUGUUCCCUUGGCAUCUAAAAAGCUAUCAGUCAUUCAGUGUUGGCCAUUAGUAGAGAAGAUCACACGGAGGAUUAACUGUUGGACUGCCAAAUUACUCUCAUAUGCAGUCGACUACAGUUAAUAUAGUCAGUUCUAUUUGGAAUUCAAUCUUACUAGGCACAAGUUUUUCUAUUACCUAAAAAGUGAUGAAGAUAGUUGAGGCUAUAUGUAGGUAAUUCUUAUGGACAUGAACAUCUAUUGUCUCUAAAAAGGCACUGGUUGCAUGGGAGAAAGUAUGUUUACCACAAGCUGCAGGGGAGGCUAAAUGUGAUGAACAUGAUCUACUGGAAUAAGGUAGUUGUGGCAAAACAUCUGUGGGCGGUGGCAAAGAAGAAAGAUUGCUUAUGGAUCAGGUGGAUUCAUACCUUCUAUAUAAAGCACCACAUAUUGGAAAAUAUUCCAAUACCUGAGAAUGUAGCUUGGAUAGUUAGGAAAAUUCUGAAGACAAGAAGAUUCAUUGGAGAACUUCAAGGUAUUCAGGGAGAUCUCAAUAGCAGACUAUGCCAAUUACAACAGGGAGAAGUCUUUAGCAUCAAAAAGCUUUAUCGUCUGCAAUUCCCUCAGUUACAACGGGUGCCUUGAAAAGGUAUUAUUUUGCAACCAAAUCUACAUCCCAGAUUCAAAUUCAUAUUGUGGUUAGCACUAUAGAGAAGAUUGGCUACAGUUGACAGGCUUCUGAAGAUUGGUAUUCAAGUUCCUCAGCAAUGUGUCUUCUGUAAGCAAGUUGAUGAAUUGUUUGACCACUUAUUCUUUGAAUGCAUUAUAACCAAGGCAAUAGUGACAGUUGAUAGCAUAUGCAGAGAAAUCGCAAUACAUAUACACACUAGAGGAAGAUCAAUACAGAAAUGGCAAGGAGCACUUAAUCAGCUGAAUUGUUAUCCUUAGGCUACAAUGUAGUAUGUGCUGAUCUUUUUAGGAUCUUAGUCGGAGUAUCUACAUACUUAGACUACAGGAAUUGAUGUAAUUAGAAUUGUGGAUGGUCAGCAUCUACUUGCUUUGUAAAGAUACUUUUGGAAUGAAUAGAAACCACUAUUUACCAAAAAAAAAAUAUUUACUUACUAAAUAAUAUAUAUUCUUACUUUAAUUAAAAUUUGUUAUUAAUUAAUUUAUUAUUAAUACUAAUUACGAGUAAGUAUUUUUCAAGAUUACAGAUUGAUAUUGUUUGUUUUUCAAAAUGAAUAACAGCAUUCGAAGUGCAAAAGCGAAAUUAUCUACGUUUCACACUAUAAAAUCCAAUAUCAAUCUUUCUAAUCAUUUCAAAAAUGUUGAGAGGUAAUACAGAUUUCCCACAAAAUUUGAAUGUGUAACUAAAAACUCAAUUAUAGUUUAAGGGGGAUUUUUAUAUCCCAUGAAAAAUCACAAUCGUGUUCCUCAAUGGUGGAUUCUUGACUUGAACUAUUCAGCAUGUUCUACUGUAUACCUUCCAUCUCCGUACCCUAAAACUCAAAAGUUAUUACAAAAAAGUUACAUUUGCUCGAAGAUUAAAAAUAUUUACACACAGAUCACUAAUUAGAAAAUUGCAAGUAUGAUAUACUUUAAUUGAUGAGCUGGAAAAAUAUAGAUAACUAAGAAAUUAAAACCUACUAUCACAUGUUACACUACAUUGAUCGUUUAAAAAGUCUUUAUACCCAUGAGUAUAUAUAAUUCAUAACGAACUAAAUUGUUGCAUAUUUCACAAUUAUCUUCUAAACUUCUAUUCCAGGAUAAUGUUACAAUAACCACCUUUUAUAAAGCUCUUCUUAUUCAUUUGAAAACAAAUAACAUUUAAAUUAAUUACAACUAUUUAUGCUUGUCUUUCGCGAACAUUUUCCCUGUCAAACCACAAGUGAGAGCUUCAUUAGGUAUAUUCUUGACAAGAUGAACAUCUUCAGCAAAGACAACUCCCAUGCCUAUAUGCAAAUGAGGUUCAAUAUGACAAUGAAAAGCCCAAACCCCUGGAUUAUUUGCCACAAAUCUUAGUGCAGUCCAUCCAUAGGGAAAAACAACAAUUGUGUUCUUCAACGGAGGAUUAUUCAAAUUGAAUGUCGUCUCAGCAUCUUCUGUUGUAAAAUCUCCGUCUCCAUACCCUAAAACCCAAAAAUUAUGUCCAUGCAAAUGCCAAGGGUGAAUUUCACUGACGUUUUCGGCUAAGGCAUUGGCAUUUUGAAGGAUUAUGUCAAUGGUGGUAUUGAAUUUCAACAUGUAAACACCAUUUCCAUAUGUGGAAUUAGGGUUUGGUGGUGGUUUCAUGAUAUCAUAGUCUUUGGAAAAAGUAUCUGGUGGAGAUUUUGUGUCAAAUGCAUUAUUUAUGCCAUAUUUUAUGGAUCCUAAAUAGGGUGUAGUUGGAAAGACUAAGGAAAUGUUGUUGAUAGCCCAUCUGGUGUAUCCUUCAAUCCUGUUAUAAACAGAUAUAAUUAAUAAAUAUAAUCUCAUAUUUUUAAUAAUUUACUCUUGUAAUUAGAUGAUGUAAUCACAUAACUAAUCUACAUAGUAACAGAACGAAAGAGGUCCUAAAUUCAUGUCUCAUCAUCAUUUAUCAACAAAAAUAUUUUCACAUGUUUUGCCUAAGAAAUAAUUUAUGUUUUAUAUACGGACAACACGUAUAUAAACUUUUCAUAUCAUCACAUUAAAUCUUCAUAGCAAGCUUGAUAUGGUAAUAUAAAAUAGAGUAAUAAUUUACUAUAUUUUUUUUUUAUAGAUUUAAGUUAUAUAUAUACUGACAGUGAAAAGAAUUCUUACAUUAUUAGUAUAUAUUUAUUUAACAUGUUACCAUAUGUAUCUUACUAUUUUUUUCAAUUUAUCAGACAUUAAUUAUAAAAGGUUACCUAUAACUAUUUUUUAACUUGAUUGCAUAAAUUAUUUUUACCUCAUUGAUACAUAAAACUUUAAUUCAAGAAAUUUGUUUCAUCUUUCUAAUUUUUUAACGAGCAUGUCCCACUGGAUAGUGGAUAGUAAAGAUACUUUUUUUUCAAUACUAUAUGCCUAUAUAAUUUAUGCGUCAAAAAUACUUUAUAUUAUAUUCUUUUUAAAUUCUAUUUUCAGUUAAAUAUUGUCAAACAAAAUAUGAAUGGAGGGAGUACCUGUUUUGAGUAUUGAGGAGCAAAAAACGACGAUUGUAUUGAGUUGGAGGCUUAGGUGAUCCAAUCAAGCCAAAGAUUUUCUUAUAGAAGACUUUGCUGUAGUUAUAAUCAUUCCAAAGAGGUGGCAAUGGUGGUGGUGAAAUUGGAAUUUUUGAACCAAAAUUUGGAAUGUAAUUCAAUAUAGUGAGGCCUUGAGAUGUUUUAGGUUCUCUUGCUCUUACAUUGACUGAAAUCCAGUAAUUGUUUGAAGGGUUUUGAUCAGUUGUGAAGAGAAUUGAAUAGCUUUCACCUGAAUAAAUGUCCAUAUUUUCCAUAAGAAAUGGUUAUAUACUAUACCAUAAAGAAUUCUUACACUAUCGAUCAGUAGAUUUAACAUGUUAUAGUUGUAUAACUUACUAUUUUUAAGUUUGGUAAAUAGUAUUAAUCAUAAAAAUGACAUGCAACUGGCUUUUACGUGACGUAGUCGGUGACGGAUAUAGUGUAGUACUAGUUAUCGGUUCAAUUGAACUCAUAACUUUUGACGCGGAGUAAAAGUUUAUGUAUAAAAAUUCAUUAAAAUUAGAAAAAUAAUAUAUAUGAACUCAUAACUUUAAAAAUAUAAUGAGUUCUAUUCUAAAAACUUUAUAACUUGAACCCAUUAAGUUUAAAUCAUGGAUCCGCCUCUGGACAUAGUUAUAUAAUUAUAUAUUUUUUAUUCCGUCACUACAUAGAACUUAAACUCAAUAAUAAUAAUUUACUGAAAUCCAGUAGUUGUUUGAAAGAUUUUGAUCAGUAUUGAAGAGAAUUGAGUAGCUUUCACCUGAAUAAAUAUCCAUAUUUUCUACAGAAAAUGGUUGAAUGUAGUUUCCAUCUGCUUCAACCACCACCAUUUUGUGACCCUAUAUAUGUAAAAUCAAAACAAGUAUCAGAAUUAUUUCUUAAGAGCUUUUGUAAAAGAUAGUCAACUUCAUUUUUUUGGGUCGAAUUUAGAAUUUAUUUUAUGGGUUUGAGUUCAGGUUCCAUCUCAACUCAUUUGAUUUACUAGUUUUGAAAUUAAUUAUUUAUACUUAUUUAAUUUAGCAAGACUAUGUUGUGUGAGCCAUAAAAUUACUGGUUUCGAAUGAUCAUGUACCUUACAUUUUAUAUUUGUCCUUAGAUACAGAUGGAUUUUCAUGGCAAAAUAGUAACAGACGACCAAUGUGCUCAUAUUUGUUGUUUACGUCGAAUCAAUAAACAAAUUUUAUGUAUUUGCAACGUACUUUUAUUACUUAACUAUGGUUAAUUAUUGUACGUUCUCACUUCAUUUUUAUCACUUAGCCUAUUAUAAGUUAAUAAGGUCUGGUGUAAAUUAAUCUCAAGCGCAGAUAAAUAUAAAGAUAUAUAAUGAGAUUAUAAAUCAUAAUUUUAUAGUUUAAAAUACUAUCUUAACGAUAAAAAGAAUCAUAAUAGAAAAAUAUUGACUCCUUAAAUAGAGUAGUAGUGUAAUUUUCAGUUUUAGCCACUUUGAGAAUUACUUUCUCCAACUUUAUUUGGUGGGCACAAAGGUCUCCCAUUUAUGAACUAAACUUUCUUAAAGCUAUGUUGUUUUCAACUUUGCACCACUGAUGUUAACAAAUUCUCUUUUCAAAUGCUGUCCCAUAUCUUUAAAAAAUUGAGACGAUAUAAAGAAGAUUAGUACAGUUCUUGCGUAAGCACCAAAUCAAGAAGUGGUCCAAAUUAUUUUAACUUUUUAAAAAGGUUUAAAAGUCAUUUCUCUUUAACAAAAAAUUAAAAAUUCAACAUUAAAUUGUAAUUUAUCCAAUUUUAACAAAUAAGAAUGAGUCAAUUUUUAUAAUCUACAAUGAAUUCAAUCUUUUACCUUGGAAAUGUAGCCUCAAUUUUCAAAACUCUCUCUCCUACGGUCUUACUCUAUCUAAAUCUCAACUUCAAAAGUUCCUAAUGGAAAAAGAAAAAAAAAUUGAAGUGUAGACCCACACAUCAUAAUCGUCAUAAACUUAUUCAAUUUAUGAAUCAAUUUUGUCAAUCGUAAAACAAAUUCAACCUUUUUACCUUGGAAAUAGAGGAGUAACCAUCAACUCUAAAUCCUAUUUAAUUUUAAUAUCUUUAUCUGUGACGCUAUCUGAUUUUAACGUCAAAACUUUUAAUAACAAAAAUUAAAAUACACAAACUGAUUCAAACAUUAUCAUGAUUAUGAAAAGAAAGUCAAGAAUUGAUUCAUGAAACUACUUUAGAGUAGCAAAAGAAUAAUAACUUUGUAAAAAGUUGAAAGGAAUAAUUACUUUUGAAGUGAGAAAAAAAUAAAUAAGGCUAUUUUGUUCCUUACCCCAAUGGCCAAGUUGAGUGAAGACAAUGCAGUGCUGCUAGCCACUCUAAGCCUAUAAGUCUUGUUUGGAUGCACGUGAAUAAUCUGGGGUGCGUACUGCUCAUCUCCUCUUAACUUGCACUGAGGAACUGAUGAUUUGCUAAAUUGCGCCGCUAGAGAACAAUUGAAUUGACCUCUUCCAUUCAUCAACAAACUCUGGUUUCACAACAAAGGGAUAUUUAGGGCCUGUUUGGCCGUCAUUUUUUUUCAUUUUUUUUUUUUACGGAAUCAGUAUUUGAACAUAAAAAUUUCAAAUUUCACUUGAAUUUGAAUUUCGUAAUAUUUCGAAAAUUUGAAAAACUCCAAAGAGUUAUUUUUCAAAAUUUUCACUUCAAAUCACUUACAAAAUUCUAAAACAACUCCAAAUUGUUUUCAUAUACAAACACAACUCUAAUUUUCAAAUAUCAUUUUCACUUUAAAAAAAGUCACUUUUUCCGGAAUUUCAUAAUUCUUAUGUCCAAAUGCCCACUAAGGACCCGUUUGGCCAUAGAUUUUGUCAAAUUUUUGCCAAAUAUUUUUUGGCAAAUACAUGUUUGUUCAUAAAUUUUAUCCAUAUUUUGGCAAAUUCCCAAAACCCAAAUCCCAAGCCCAAAAUAUUACUAUUAAGUUUUUUUAAAAAUUAGCUCAACUUUUGUAUUUUAUAAAAGAGCCCACUAUUUAUUAUUUUGUAACACUGCUACUUCGUCUUCUCGGUCAUCUGAUAGUGUAUUCUGUAGUUCAUUAUAAAAAUAAUAAUUUUGUACUAAAUUUAUUUAUGUUCAGGACUAUGAUUUGUGAUAAUGAUAAUGAAUGUUAUUGAUGAAGAUAAUAUUGGGUAUUUGUGAUAGUUUUUAGAACUUGUGGGUAUAAGUCAUGUUUCAUGUUUUUUCAAAAAAUAAAAGUGAAAUAUAUUUUGAAAACUGAUGUCCAACCACGUUUUCAUCUUCAAACCAAACUUCACCCAAACCAGAUUUUUCGAAACAAAUUUGGGAAUAUAUGGCCAAAGACUAGCUAAGUGCAUGAUUUCUUUCAAUCUGUUGGUAAAUAAAGUUAUCCGAUACGUAUGCUGAUAACAAGCAACCCGUAAAAUUAAUCGAAGUGUAUACAAACCGACGCGGAUAUCACAAUUAUAAAAAAAAAAAAUAAGGAAGUAAUAUGUGACCUGUGGUUCACCAAUCCAACGAAAAGGCUUAGAAGAGAGGUCAAUUUGUUGAUCUUGGGAACUUUUGUGCCACCAAUCACUAAGUAAUAAAUUGAAUUCUCCAUCAUAGUGAAAUGGUUCUUUUUCAUCUUUUGCAACUUCCACUAUGAGUGAACCAUAUAAUCCUGCUGAUCUUUGCAUCCCAUAAUGUCCAUGGUAGAAAUAUGUCCCUGCCUGUUUUUUUUAAUACAACAUUAACGUCUUAAUUCCAAACAAGUUAAGGCCGAUUAUAUUAAUCUUCACUUCUUUAUAAGUUCAUUUCGUAAAGUAAAAAAUAAGUUAAAUAAUAUUUUGCCUCCCUUAAUAUCCAUGGUAGGAAUACGUCCCCGGCUAUUAUUUAAGUAUCACACAAAUAUAAUAAAUCCAAUUUCUUUUAAUUUCAUUUAAUUUUUGAAUUUUAAAAUUGGCUAUAUAAAUAUCUUGUUCACGUAAAAGUGAAUAAUAUUGUAUAUAGUGGUGACACUUGCUUUUUGGAUGUAUGGUCCUUGUGGGUCCUAAAAAAUCUAACUAUUAUAAAAUAAUUCUACCUUUGCUCCAUGUUACGUUUUGUUAAAUUGUUAUUGUUCAAAAAUAUUUAAUGUUAAAAACAAGAAGUAUAUUUUUUUAGUGGGCGUGUUAAUUAAGAAAGAUGUUCAAGAGAGAUAAAAAAUAGUCUCGACGAAUACUUUAUAAUUAAAAUAUAGAAAAUUUUAAAUAUUUUUUUAAGGGGGGUUCAAAAAACGUAAAAAACUCAUAGAAGAUAAUUCCAUUUUUUUUUUUGGUCUUGUGUGGGAGAGAAAUUACCUUGUCAACUAUAAACGUGUAAACAAAUGUCUCUCCAGGGUUAAUGGGACAUUGGGAGAUUGAUGCAGUUCCAUCCGCCCAUGGUGUUCCACGCUGUAGUAAGAAAUUUAUGAAAACCACAAAUGAAAAAAAAAAGGUAAGAAAUUAAUACAUAUUAAAAAAGAUUACGCAAAUGUUAGUUAAAAGGGACCCCUUGCAACCCUUCGGGGUUGAUCGGUUGGUUUCGAGGGUAGUCAUCCAUAUGGAUGACCUGCGAUCGAAUCCGUCGCCCAGGGCUUGACUAGUGCGGUUUACAUUCCCUGUGUGGUUUGCAUAUUAUUACACAUGAGGAGGUUUAGCCAAUGCACACCAAGUGUCGCGGCUGCGAGUUUCCCCACUUACCAAAAAAAAUAAGGGGGACCCCUUAUAUGUUAAAAAAAGGUUAUUGUAAUUUUAGUUAUUCAAGGGUUAAUUGAAUUUUGAUCAAGCAUAUAUAGAAGUGGUCUUUUUUUGUUCCUAACAAUACCAACAUCAGUCAAUCAAUCGUACCUUAAUCUUAAUUUAGCUAAAUUAUGUAAUAUAAUUAAUUCUCGUUAUUCAUUCCGCUUUAAUUAAUUCAUUUCUUUGUUUGGUACGAUGAUUAAAAGGACGAUAUAUAACAAAUAGAAAGCUAGCUUCCACUCAGAAUGAGAUGUCGAUAUACUAUAACAACAAUAUAAACAAUAAUCAAACCUUAUUUCCAAGCAAGUUAAGGUAGGUUAUAUAAAUUUUGCUCACGUCACUUCAUAAAGUCCGUCUCAAUUCAAUAUUAUUUUUAUAUAUAAUCAAAAUAAAAACAAAAAUGCGUUUUAAGUUCUCUAUAUUUUCUAUUUGCAUGCAUAUAAAUCUCUAAUAAAACUCAAAAAGUCCUAAAAGAACACCUAAUUAAUAUAUAUCACCUAUACACUGUGGCAGAGGCAAAAGCCGAGCUAUGGGUUCGAUAGGCCGAACCAAGUAGUUUUUGUUCAAACAAUGUAUUUUGUGUUAAAAGAAUUAUUAGCAAAACGUGUAUUUUUGUGUUAAGAAAUUUAUUGAAUAUAUACAAAAAUUAAAUUUAGAAUCCAUUCAUUAGCAUUUGAAGCCUUUGUUUUAAAAUUCAGAACCGACAUAAAAUUGAAAUUCUAGCUCUGUCUCGUAUUAUGAAGAUGCCAAUAUACUAGCAUUAAAAAUUCAUUGUGUGUGUUUUAUGUUUUUUGAGGGUAGAGGUGGAUUCUAACCUGUGGAAUUCCAUGCCAGUGAAUUACAACUCCUUCAGUAAGAAGCUUGUUAGUAAGCUCAACAGAAAUAGUAUCACCAGUUCUUGCCCUAAUAGUUGGACCAGGAAACUUUCCAUUAAUAGCCAUUACCACACCCUCUACACCGUCUGGAGACCAAUGCAUGUACUCCACUCUCCAUUUAAAUUGCCUUGUUUUGGCCAUGGCUGAAAUUGUUGACAACUCCAACAACAACAACAAAAUGCCUAAUAAAGACAUCUUUUUUAAUUCUUGAUAUAUGUGAAAAUAUGGGAGUAAAAUAAAAAAGAAAAGUUGAUCACAGAGAGAUAAGGAAAAGUUCCAAGCUCACACUAGUUGGAGCUUUGUACUUCAUUUAUGGAACUUUCAUAAUGCUGGAUUGUGUGUGUAUAUAUAUAUGUUGGCAAAGAUACACAAUCUAAGUUUAAGGGAGGGGGGGA
rnacentral:lncRNA from 1 species